rnacentral:tRNA from 1 species
GCAGGUGUGGCGGAAUUGGUAUACGCGUAGGUCUCAGAAGCCUAUGCCUUCACGGGCUUGAGAGUUCGAGUCUCUCCACCUGCA